CAAUUGGGUUACAUCCAUUGUGAAUAAGGCCAUUAUGAACAUGAGUGUACAAAUAUCUCUUUGAGACUCUGCUUUCAAUUCUUUUGGGCAUAUACCCAGAAGAGAAACUGCUAGAUCAUAUGGUAAUUCUAUUUUUAAUUUUUUAAGGAACUACCAUACUGUUUUCCACAGCAGCUGCAUCAUUUUACAUUCCCAACCUGGAACAAGUGUUCCAGUUUACCCACAUCUUUGUCAACACUUGCUAUUUUCUAUUUUCUUUAAAAUUUUUAUAGUAGCCAUCCUAAUGGGUGUGAGGUAGUUCAACAUAAGUUUAUAUUUCUCUUAGGUAAAUAUCUACUCAUGGGAUUGCUGGGCUGUAUGGGGGCAGCAUCUUCUACUAUGUGCAUCUACAUUGGAUGGCAGUGGAGCAACACAGAUUGUUUUCUGACAAAAAUCAGCCAAGUACUAGGAGAGGCAGGACUUUAGAAGUGGAGGAGAUGGAGAAGGAAGCUUAGGUUACUAUGGAGUGUGCAAAAAGGUCCUGUGGAUUUAGAUACCACCACACACAAAUGCUGUUGUUGGAAGGUACCUGCCCAGAUAAGGACUGCAUUUCCUCUAGCAUCCAGAUGGGACCAAAUGACUGCUGGCCAAUAGAAGUGAGUGGAAAGGACUGACUCCAGUUCCAGGUUGGGCCUCCAACUGCUCUGGGCACGUCGAUGGAACAGAACACCACCUCCACCCCAAUACCACCAAUUCAACUUUACAUGAAUUAUAAGCGAGAAAUAACUUGGACUGUGUUAAGUCAUUGAGUUUCUGGGGUUUAACUGUUAUUAUAGUUAAGAAUGACUUUAACUAAUAUAGUCAAUGACAUCUAACUGGAGUUAUGAAAUUCAAUUUCUACUUAGAGUAAUUGAAGCAAAGGUUGUGGGGGAGGGGAGGAGGGCAGCACACCAUGAAAUCAGAGAUCCCCAGUACGUGUUAGUUCAUCAGUCAAUCAGUCUUAAGGUCAGGGUGUAGUGUGGGCAGCAGUUGCCUCCCUCUCCCCACAGAACACCCUGAGAAUAGGAAGUUAGAGUAGUCGCAUCUUAUUACUUACAAAACAUUACCUCAAAAUGCAAACUACCCCCUGGACCCAAACUCUCUACAAUCACCAGGUUCCAUAAACUAUAAUCUACUCUGUUUUCUGGAAGAAAAUAUUAACCUGUUAAAAUUCCCUGC
rnacentral:lncRNA from 10 species